GCGACCAUAGCGUUGUGGACCCACCUGACUCCAUGCCGAACUCAGAAGUGAAACGCAAUAGCGCCGAUGGUAGUGUGGGGCUUCCCCAUGUGAGAGUAGGACAUCGCCAGGC
rnacentral:rRNA from 1 species